AUUUAGUUGCUGAUAAAUUUCAACCCUCAUUGUCCCUCUUCCCUUGGUGCCUUACAGCUGGGCACACUGACAAGAAAGCUUGAACACUUCCUCCUUUGGCACAAGUAGAAAAUUCGAACUGCACAAGCUUCUGACCACCUACACAUAGGGACCCACAUCCCAGCCAGACCUCAUAACAACAAUGAAAACUCUAAGCUGGUAUCAUAGACUGACUGACUUAAGCAGCAGAUGUCAAAUUUUGGGUAAGAGUCCAUCCUGCCAUAGACCAAAGCGGCCAUAUAGGGAUAUUUAAAAAUGUAGACUCUAGGGUGUAGAGAAAAGGGAACCAUUCUACACUGUUUGUGGCAAUGUAAAUUAGUGCAACCACUAUGGAGGACAGAAUGGAGGUUUCUUUAAAAAUUAACUACAGACCUACCAUAUGACCCAGCAAUCCCACUCUUAGGCAUCUAUCCAGAUAAAACUCUAACUGGAAAACUUAUAUGCCCUCCAACGUUCAUUGCAGCACUAUUUACAAUAGCUAAGACAUGGAAGCAACCCAAAUCUCCACUGACAGAGGAAUGGAUAAAGAAGAUGUGAUACAUAUAUACAAUGGAAUAUUAUUCAACCAUAAAAACAAAUGAAAUAAUGUCAUUUGUAGCAACACAGAUGGUCCUAGAGAUUAUCAUACUGAGUAAGAUAAGUCAGACAGAAAAAGACAAAUAUCAUAUAUCACUUAUAUGUGGAUUCUAAUAAAAAGUGAUACAAAAGAACUUAUUUGAAAAACAGCAACAAACAGAUUUCAAAACCAGUCUUAUGGUUACCAUAGGUGAAAACUUUGAGGGUGAAACUGAGCAGGCUCCUGGGCACAAAAGCCUGUGCCCCCCAUUUCUUGUUUUUAGGAAGUGGGCUUCAUUCAGCCUCCAUGGCCUUCCCUGAGUUCUAAGGGGCAGGUUUUGACAGUUGAUCAUCAGGAAAGGGAAGGGAUGCAAAGCCAAGGGAGGAACAGUCAAGCCGCAAUAGUAUAACCUUGGGGCAGUAUCCUAGUUCCCCCCUCAAGAGAUACACAUAAUGAUAUAGGCAUCUUAUACACCUAAAAGAAAUGUUAUAUUCCUUAUGCUUCUUUUAGAAAUUAUACUUUAUUUUUGUCUUUUUAGGGCUGCACUCACAGAAAGUGGAAGUUCCCAGGCUAGGGGUCAAAUCAGAGCUGCAGCUGCCAGCCUAAGCCACAGCCACUGCAACACCAGAUCCAAGCUUCAUCUGUGACCAACACCACAGCUGGUGGCAAUGCCAGAGCCUUAACCCAAUGAGCAAGGCCAGGGAUAGAACCCUCAUCCUCGUGGAUACUAGUCGGGUUCGUUACUACUGAGUCACAAUGGGAACUCCCUAGAAAUGAAUACUUUGAAAAGGAACAGCUUGGAGCCCUUCCUUGCGCUCCUCCCUCACCUGACUGCAUCCUAAACACAAUUACCUGUAAACUAAAGAUUAGGAACCCUAAGCACAACUGCCUGUGGGUUAAAGAUUAUUAGCAUGUGAUGUUUUUCAGGAACUUUCCUAGUUUGUUCUAAUCUCAGAUCAAUAUGCCUUUUUUGCAGGUACUAUUAUUUUAGGCAAUAACCCAGAAGACCAUCACCAGAAUCAUGUUGAGAUCUCCUGAUGCCAGCCUCAAACACUAAGAUUCUGCAAAAGAAAGAAUGCAUAUCUGUCCCAACCCUGAUUCUUAUCUGAAACCCUGUUUUUCUCCUUUUAGACUAUAAAACUCCCUGCAAUUCUUUCCCACAUUCUAUAAGGCAUUAUCCUCCUGUAGCCUCCUUUGCGUGGCAAAGCAAUAAAAGCUGUUUUUUUCUCCUUCACCCAAAACCCUGUCUCCCCAUUCCUAUUUAUCACCAGUGGACAGAGGCUGAGUUUUGGCAACAGGGAGAGGGAAGAAUUGGGAGGGUGGGAAUAACAUAUACACACUACUGUAUAAAAUAGAUAAUUAACAAGAACAUAUUGCAUAGCACAGGAAAAUCUACUCAAUAGUUUGUAAUAACCUAUAUGGAAAAAAGAAUGGAUAUGUGUAUGUGUAUGACUGAUUCACUUUGCUGUACACCUGAAACCAAUACAACAUUGUUAGUCAACUAUACUCCAAUAAAAUUAAAAAAAAAAAAAGCAAAUCCUGAAGCAAAUCACAAGGGAAAAAAAGGAAGAAUAUACACGCUAGUGCUUGCUUCCCACAUAAGAGAAUUUGGAGGUCAGAGGCUGACUAGAGCCACCUGCAGUGGCAGAGCAAGAAAAGCAAUCAGUGUAACUUACUACAAUGUUACCUGUUUGGGGGGCAAGGAUGUGUGAGUCUGUGGGCCAAGAGAACUCAAGGAAGCUACUUCAAUGGUACUUUACUCAAGAGGGCUAAGAACCAGGACAAAAGGAUCUCAGCAAUAAGAAGCUGUGUAACAGAACACCAGGAGCAGAAGCUGGGAAACUCAUAAAGUGUCACCACAUUAUCUAUCCACAGUAGGAAACUGUGCAUUUUGUUGGUACCAGCAGAGGUCACCAGACAACCCAAACAUACACCCACAUCAUAGCCAGCUAUGGAAUUUUACAGUGAUAGUGGACAUGAAAACAGGACAGUAUCAAAUAAGAACUCCACUGACUCUAGCAAUUAAAUUCUUUUAUCUCUCUUCUGCUCCCUCCUCCUGUAUCCCAAUCCUGGAAGAGCCAAAAAAAUUAUGGAGUCAGGAUGAAGCUAAAAAACAAAAUAAUUAAAGAACAAAUUCUACCUUUUCUUCACUUCUCUGGACUAGUGGAGAGGAAAGGUCUUGAAUUACAUGUGAGACCUCUGGCUUCUGCUUAAGAUGCAGAAAUCUGAAAAGAACAUCCCACCCUUAUUAACAAUAAUAGCAACAAUGGUAACAACAAAGCCAGACAACCUGGAAAUUCACAACUCUUUCAGAACCUAUUAGAGAGCUAAAGUGAUAGAAUAACCAGCUAACCUGAAAUCUAAGGAAAGAGCCUCCAAAGAGAGAUGGGACAUGAGCUCUUGCUUACCUGUCACAAUCACCAAUAGAUGUUGACCAGAAAAAUAAACUAAAAUUCUUUUUUUCUUUUUACAGCUGCACGUGAAGCAUCUGGAAUCUCCUGGGCUAGGGGUUGAAUUGGCACUGUAGCUGCUGGCCUACAUCACAGCCACUGCAAUGCCAGAUCCGAGCCACAUCUGCAACCUAUAACAUAGUUUGCAACAAUACCAGAUCCUUAAGCCACUGAGCAAGGCCAGGGAUCAAACCUGUAUUCUCAUGGACACUGUUGUGUUCUUAAUCCACUGAGCCACAACAGGAACUCCCUCAGCUAAAAUUUUUAACCAAUUACUAAAGGCCAGUUGUGGGCUACCAAGAGAAUAUAGGACCCUUGGAGGCUGCAGACACAAGAGGAAUUCAUAACCACUCACAGGCCCUUCUCUAUGUCCCUCACUGAGCACUUACAAAAAGGCCUAGGAUAAGAGCAACAGUCCUGAGAAAGUGUCCUUCAUGGUGCAGGCCUAGGGAAGGAAGACGGCAGCCACUGUGGGAAAGGCAGAAGCCCCACUGGAUCUGUCUCCCCUACCUCCCCAUAGGAAUGAAAGCUUUAUCCACUCUGUGAAGGUAAAUGCGCUCACCCAAAGGCACUGUGGAAACCCACUGCAGGUAAAAGAAGAAACAGAACCGAACACUUUACCCCUGAGGAAGAGGCAGAAUACAUGCUGGGCCCAGAAUUACAGCAGGAAGAAGGGCAUGAGCACAGAGAAUGCAACCCCCACCCAAGAUCCAGGGACAUAAUACCUUCCUACGACUAAGGGUUAGUCAGUAUAGCAUAGCCCCAUCUCCCACCUCCAGGAUAACACACUUCUAGUGACAAGUAAUAGUUCUGCCGUUGAGAGCAAAAGAGUGGAGAUAGCCCCUCUCUGAGGAGUGGGGUAAAGGGAACCAGGAAACAGAGGGCAUCCUUGGAUGAGUUCUGAAGAGACUUUAAUGAAGGGAUCAUUUACAGGGGAAGGCUGGUUCUGGAACUAACAAUAAGGAAUGCUGAGGCACUGAGAGAUAGACAACAGUAGAAAACUAUUAAAGCUUGAAGCAGUGAGGAGAGGAGAUAGUGUAACUGGAGUGAUAGCUACAGCCAAGCAAGCAAGGCCACUGGAAGGAAUUAUGACUAUUUUAAAUCCCUCUCUCCUCUAGCUCUCUGAUCUGCUACAGGUGUCUCCCAUAAGCUGAUCCAACCAGUCAGAGGGCCAGGGAGUUGGGUACAGAACAGAGCUGAGAAGGGUAGAAAAUGGAUGCAGCAGGUGCACAUGGAUAAUACCUAGCGUGAUACAGCCUAGCUUUCCUCCUACCAUAGGUAGUCUCCAUCUCCAGGGCCUUGGCAGCCUCUCCUCCUCAGGGUACAGACUGAGGCUUUCUUCUCUUUUCUUUCUAACCUCUCUCUAGGUGGUAUCAUGCAUUUCCAUGGCUUGUGACAUCAUUGGUGUGCUGAUUACUCUUAAAUUUAUAUUACUCCAGUCCUCUCCUUGAAUCAGAUCCAACUAUCUUGACAGCGAGGGCGCUCCAGUGUCUCAGACACUGCAUUUCUCACCCAUCUAAGUCUAUUAAUAGUCUUAAUUUCCCCCUCCCCAGUAUCCAAGUCAUCAAAUCCUAUCAAUUCCAACACUAAAAUAUAUUCCCUAUCCAUCCAUCCUUUCUCCUUGUCACCCUUACCACUGUAUUACUUCUUAUGUUGAUACUACUUUCUCCUCCUCCAAGCCACUCUGGACUCAGUAAACAGAGGGAUCAUCUUAAAAUGUAGGCUAGAUCAUACUACUGCCCUAUUUAAACUUUCCAAUGACUACCUUUUCCUUCCUCAUCUCUGCCCACUCCUGCUUACCACUAUCUAGGCACAAUGGAUUUUUCAUAUGUCCUCACAGAAGCCAAACUCUUUCCUAACUCAGGGAUAACACUCCCCCUGCAAGUGGCUGCUCCCACCUGGCCCCAGGCUUCAGAAGCUGUCUCCUCAUCCUUCAGACUGACUUAAAGUCUCCUCCUCAGGAAGUCUUUCCCUGGCCAUCUUAGUUUAUGUAAGUUCUUUCUCCAUCCCACUGUUUUCUAUUUUCACAUCUACUUUAUUCCUUUCUUAGUAUUAAUCACACUCUAAUUUUUAUUUGCUUGGUUGUGUUUUGUCAUUCUCUCAUACUAGACUUCAAAUUCUAUAAAGCAGUGGCUAUUACGCCCUGUAACCAUUUCAACUCCCUUAUAUCCCCUGAGCUUACUAUAUUGCCUGGCAUAAAGCAGGUAUUUGAUAAAUAUUUCACAACACAUUAUUACACUUUCCAUGUGGCAGAGACUACGCUUAGUUCCAUAAAAAUA
rnacentral:lncRNA from 1 species